GGACUGUAGCUGACCCAUAGUGGGCAUGUAGAGAGAGAAAGAAACUUUAUGUAAGCUGCUUAACACAAUCUGGAAUAAGCUGGUUGGCACAAGGCUCUUCAGAUAUUGGAUCCUUGAACAAUGACAAGCACCUGUGAGUUCCUAAGCAAGUAUAGCAAUAAACCUGAAUGUGGAAACCUUAACCAUUGGGAUAGUUAUGCUUUAUGAAGUAAGAACACCACCAUUUAGCAAGAGAGGAAGCUGUUCCAAAAGGUGAUCCACUGAGAAGGCGGCAUGCAGACCUCAAUCCUGCCAGCAUUUUCUUUGACAGCUGCCCCCCACCACCACCACUGCCCAGGGGAACUGAGCACCUAAGGCGCCAGCCCACUGCACAGGUUCCAAAACAGCUAGAUGGUGACGGAAAUGGAAGGAAUGGAACACGUUGGAAAGGAUUUGGCUGCAAAUGGGAAAGUGUAAUUUAGCCCCCAUGCAUCAGUACAGCAGAGAUGUGACGUAACAGGAACAUGACUACACCUCCAGUCACCACAGCAGGCAGCUCUGAAUUUUCCAGAGAUAAAGUUCAUUU